rnacentral:rRNA from 1 species
UACAGAGGGUGCAAGCGUUAAUCGGAAUUACUGGGCGUAAAGCGUGCGUAGACGGUUAUGUAAGUCAGAUGUGAAAGCCCCCGGGCUCAACCUGGGAAUUGCAUUUGAGACUGCAUUAGCUAGGGUGCGGAAGAGGGAAGCGGGAAGUUUCCGGUGUAGCGUGAAAUGCGUAGAGUAUCGGAAGGAACACCAGUGCGAAAGCGGCUUCCUGGUCCAGGCACCGACGUUCAGGCACGAAAGCGUGGG